GCGCGGCGCUUAUAUAGAAGCGCUGCAUACGGGCAUCGCGUGACCUCUGACGUCAGACGGCCGCCGCGCCCCUGCCUUGUGCUGGGGUCAGGCAGGCGAGGCCGCCCGCCUGAGAGACAGACCAGUCCGCGGGGCAAGGGGAGAGCGGAGAGUGCUGCACCCUCGGGCUGGGCAGGGCCGCCGGGCUCCCUCCGCGCUGUGGUGCCCGUCUGCUGAGCGGAGCCGCAGGGCUGCCAGGGCAUAAUAAAGUCUGAGCCCGCGGGGGGAGUUGUACUGCCUGUGUCACAGCCCAGCGCCGCUGCCCGCGCCGGGGUUGAUAGUGGUGGCCGCAGCCAAGCUCGAGCCUGUGCAGGCAGGGCUGAAUGCCCUACUUGGUAAGGACCUACAAUCACCCAGAAUGUGAUUUUGGACACUUUGUGAGAUCCAGGUGCAGAAACCUCUGAAGUGCACAAUGAGGAGGGAGUAGGGGAGGACAAAGAAAGGGACACAAACCAUUCAGCGAGCCAGGUGUUGUUUGAAACUCAGCUGGCAUCACGACAGUCUUGCUAGCAGCCUCUGGCAUGGUGGCCUUAAGAGAUGCCCCUUCUACGCCUGCUGAACAUUUAACCUUGAUCAGCUAAAGAAAGAAGCGGAUCAGGAAAGAUAUGUUCUGUGAGAUCCUCCAGUCCUGUACAGGUGCUGAUCAUGAGCACAGGGAUUGGAGAAGCCAAAGGUCCUAGAGCAGGGGGAAGAACCAUGAAUGGACAGAGUGGUUACUGAAGGAAUGACAAAGGGACAGAGAGGUACUUCAGUAAUUUCACCAGCACAUACUAUCUUUGCUCAAGCAACAAACACAGAUGUUGCAGAAAAUUAUUGCGCCAACUACCCCAAGACUCCAUACAUAGCAGCUUUUCCGACUCAUGGAAAACUCCAUUUGCUGCUUCCUGUACCCCCAGCAUCACAGAUUGCAGCAUGACAGGAACCCUUUCCUCUAAUCACUCUGUGCUAAGGGAAAAUAAGGACAGCCAUGACUUAAAAACAAGUAGUACACUGUAGUGUAACAUGAAUGAAACAUUGUAAUAUGUUUUUAAUAUGCAAAUA